GGGACUCCGUUUACAUGGUAUUACGCGGAUUGACGUCUUUUUUCAAAAUUAAAUUAUAGUUAGGACUUAGGAUAUUAAAUAGGUACUUUUUAUGAUUUUGACAUAUCAUUUAAUUCCCCUAAUAUUGAUGAGUGUACAAUAAAAUGUCUCUGUCAUUGGUACCUAUUAGGCAUUUAUUGGUAUUAUGAUUGUACUCAAUUUUAAGGAGAAUACUAUACAGAUUAAAGCGCUAGUAUUACAAACAUCACACAGACAUGAAUUGCCACAUGAAGUGAAUGAGGAAUUGGUAAGUCAUUCUUUGAGUAUUAUGCCUUUUACCUGAAGUUGCAAGGCUGGCGCUUCAGAGUGCUGCAAGCAUGUGGUGUCUGUUCUUCUGUUAUUGAACAGAACUCCAAUUGCUGAUUUGGAAUCAUUGUCAUCAACCGAUAUAAAAUAUCAAUGGAUAAAAUUUAGGCAGCCGACAUUAACGCAGUACAAACCAUUACCUGUGGAUACGUAUUGUUGCUAUAAAAAGACUAGUGAAAUGAAUGUUGAUAUUGAUGGAGAGACAGUUAGAUAAAUUCAGACGUACACAAAUAAAUGAAUAAUUAAUGUUGUAAACACUUGUAUUAACAACAUUGUUCAAUGGUUAUUGUGUCAGGCAAUCAUCACAUCUGAACCAAUUUUCUGUUUUAACCAUUUUGUGUUUGUAUCCUUUAUAUAUCAUCAAUAGUUUAACCUAGUUACAUUGUACUUAUUGACUAUGAGCAUAGGCGCAAUUAGGGGGAACUUAGGGGAUUAGCCUCCCCACAGUUUUAUCUGUAGCCCCAGUUAUUUUAACUUUUUUUUACUAUAAAAUCAUGGUUUGUACUGUCAACUUCUCUAAUUACGCCUAUGGUUAUUAGUAAAAUUAUACCUACUAUUUGUUAUGUUGUACUAGUCUAGUUAAUUAUCUAGUUGAUGCGUGUUUUAUGUUAUUACUUAGCUUAGUGAAUACUGUAUGGUUAUGGAUUUUACUAAUUACAUAUGAUUGUUUUCUUAA